rnacentral:rRNA from 1 species
UCAGGAGGAUUAUUGGGCCUAAAGCAUCCGUAGCCGGCUCUGUAAGUUUUCGGUUAAAUCCAUGUGCUCAACGCAUGGGCUGCCGAAAAUACUGCAUAGCUAGGGAGUGGGAGAGGUAGACGGUACUCAGUAGGAAGGGGUAAAAUCCUUUGAUCUAUUGAUGACCACCUGUGGCGAAGGCGGUCUACCAGAACACGUUCGACGGUGAGGGAUGAAAGCUGGGGGAGCAAACCGGAUUAGAUACCCGGGUAGUCCCAGCUGUAAACGAUGCAGACUCGAUGAUGCAUUGGCAUAUAGCCAGUGCAGUGUCGCAGGGAAGCCGUUAAGUCUGCCGCCUGGGAAGUACGUACGCAAGUAUGAAACUUAAAGGAAUUGGCGGGGGAGCACCACAAGGGGUGAAGCCUGCGGUUCAAUUGGAGUCAACGCCAGAAAUCUUACCCGGAGAGACAGCAGAAUGAAGGUCAAGCUGAAGACUUUACCAGACAAGCUGAGAGGUGGUGCAUGGCCGUCGCCAGCUCGUGCCGUGAGAUGUCCUGUUAAGUCAGGUAACGAGCGAGAUCCUCGCCACUAGUUGCUAUCAUUAUUCUCAGGAAUAGUGGGGCGAAUUAGUGGGACUGCCGUUGUUAAAACGGAGGAAGGAGGGGGCUACGGCAGGUCAGUAUGCCCCGAAACUCUGGGGCCACACGCGGGCUGCAAUGGUAGCGACAAUGAGCUCCAAACUCGAAAGAGAGUGGCAAUCUCUAAACGCUACCACAGUUAUGACUGAGGGCUGUAACUCGCCCUCACGAAUAUGGAAUCCCUAGUAACCGCGUGUCAUUACCGCGCGGUGAAUACGUCCCUGCUCCUUGCACACACCGCCCGUCGUUUCAUCGAAGUUUGCUUUUAGCGAGGUGAUGUUUAAUUGACAU